ACAAGUACCGUGAGGGAAAGUUGCAAAGCACUUUGAAGAGAGAGUUAAAGAGGGCGUGAAACCGAUGAGAUGGAAACGGACAGAGCUGGCGUAUCUGGUCUGCAUUCAUCCGUGUGUUCUUGGGCGUUUGGAUUGCCACUCUCCAGACUGGGAUGGUGUUCAUUCUGUUCAGGGGCUCAUGGAGCAUUUGCAGGCGGAGUGCGCUGAGAUGCUCGGAACAGCUGUAUGAGCUUGGCUUUGAGGCCAGCCCUUCGGGGUCUGGUACCCGGGCUGUGGGAGUGCUGUUCGUUCUGGGUGCUGAGUGUGUGCAAUUGCAACGGGUCCGUGUUGGUUUGAGCUGGCGGUCGGUGGCGGUCGCGUGCGACACGUGCCAGCAGUCAGUUCGGUCCUGCUCGGGCUCUCAUUGCAUGUUCUCGGUGUAAAAGCCGGUCAUCUGUCCGACCCGUCUUGAAACACGGACCAAGGAGUUUAGCGUGUGCGCGAGUCAUUGGGAGUUGAAAACCCAAGGGCGUAAUGAAAGUGAAGGUCUCCUUGCGGAGCUGAUGUGUGAUCUCGUGCACCCCGGUGUGCGGGCGCAACAUAGUCCCGUCCCGAUCGCAUGCGAUGGGGCGGAGACAGAGCGUACGCGCUGAGACCCGAAAGAUGGUGAACUAUUCCUGAGCAGGAUGAAGCCAGAGGAAACUCUGGUGGAAGUCCGAAGCGAUUCUGACGUGCAAAUCGAUCGUCUGACUUGGGUAUAGGGGCGAAAGACUAAUCGAACCAUCUAGUAGCUGGUUCCUUCCGA
rnacentral:rRNA from 1 species